UGGGGAAUUUUGGACAAUGGGCGAAAGCCUGAUCCAGCAAUGCCGCGUGUGUGAAGAAGGCCUUCGGGUUGUAAAGCACUUUUGUCAGGAACGAAACGGUUUGGGCUAAUACCCUGAGCUAAUGACGGUACCUGAAGAAUAAGCACCGGCUAACUACGUGCCAGCAGCCGCGGUAAUACGUAGGGUGCAAGCGUUAAUCGGAAUUACUGGGCGUAAAGCGUGCGCAGGCGGUUAUACAAGACAGAUGUGAAAUCCCCGGGCUCAACCUGGGAACUGCAUUUGUGACUGUAUGGCUAGAAUCUGGCAGAGGGGGGUAGAAUUCCACGUGUAGCAGUGAAAUGCGUAGAUAUGUGGAGGAAUACCGAUGGCGAAGGCAGCCCCCUGGGCUAAGAUUGACGCUCAUGCACGAAAGCGUGGGGAGCAAACAGGAUUAGAUACCCCUGUAGUCC
rnacentral:rRNA from 1 species